AAACUCCAAUCGAUGGAGGGGAAAUAACUGAAGACUCCCACUCCUCAAAAUAAAAUAAUAAACAAAUCAAGAUGUCCAAAGACUCCUCCCCAAACCACAUCCACUUCCACCAUCCCCGCCUCGCCGACCUCUUCGAGGACUUCAGCCGCCCAUACACAUCAAUUUUCACCAGCAACACAGGCACGGGCACCUCUUCGUCCAACGGUCCCAAUCCAGCAGCAGCAGCAACAGCGGCCACCACAUCAACAGUCAACAACCCUUCCUCAAACCCUUCUUCGACAACACCAGCAACCAUCAACUCCUUCCUCCCCGUCGAAGACAUCUACGUCGCCCCGCAAUACCAACCCGUGAACCCUGAGGAUGAGGACGAUGUUGUCCCCGACCAACAUGCUGUUUUUGGCAUUACACGCGCCAUGGAGGCAAGACGGGAGGUUGUUUGGAGGGACUUAGCACUUGAGGAGCUUAUGCGCGGAGC
rnacentral:sRNA from 1 species